UUUAAAUAGCUGCAGUAUUUUAACUGUACAAAGGUAGCAUAGUAAUUAGUCUUUUAAUUGAGGUCUCGAAUGAAUGGUUUAACAAGAAAAUCACUUUAUUAUAUUAAUUAAAUUAAUUUUAUUUUUUAGUUAAAAAGCUAAAAUUAUUAAAUGGGACGAUAAGACCCUAUAGAUCUUUAAAUUUUUUUAAAUUAAUAUAUUUCAGUUGAAUUAAUUUUUAUUUAAUAGAAAUUUUUUGUUGGGGUGACAUACAAAUAUUUUAAGCUUUGUAAUAUACUUACAUAAAUUAAUGAUUUAUUUGAACCUAAAGUAAGGGUUAUUAAAAUAAGAUACCUUAGGGAUAACAGCGUAAUAAACUUGUAUAGUUCAGAUAGAUAAGUUUGUUUACGACCUCGAUGUUGAAUUAAUUUAAAAUUCUGGGGCAGAAAAUAGGAAAUUUAGGUCUGUUCGACCUUUAAAAAAUUACG
rnacentral:rRNA from 1 species